GAUGAACGCUGGCGGCGUGCUUAACACAUGCAAGUCGAACGGGAAACCUUUUAUUGAAGCUUCGGCAGAUUUAGCUGGUUUCUAGUGGCGGACGGGUGAGUAACGCGUGGGUAACCUGCCUUAUACAGGGGGAUAACAGUCAGAAAUGGCUGCUAAUACCGCAUAAGCGCACAGAGCUGCAUGGCUCAGUGUGAAAAACUCCGGGGGUAUAAGAUGGACCCGCGUGGGAUUAGCUGGUUGGGGGGGUAACGGCCCACCAAGGCGACGAUCCAUAGCCGGCCUGAGAGGGUGAACGGACACAUUGGGACUGAGCCACGGCCCAGACUCCUACGGGAGGCAGCAGUGGGGAAUAUUGCACAAUGGGGGAAACCCUGAUGCAGCGACGCCGCGUGAAGGAAGAAGUAUCUCGGUAUGUAAACUUCUAUCAGCAGGGAAGAUAAUGACGGUACCUGACUAAGAAGCCCCGGCUAACUACGUG
rnacentral:rRNA from 1 species